UACGGGGGGGGCAAGCGUUGUUCGGAAUUACUGGGCGUAAAGGGUUUGUAGGUGGCUUGCUAAGUCAGACGUGAAAUCCCUCAGCUUAACUGGGGAACUGCGUCUGAUACUGGCGAGCUUGAGUGCAGGAGAGGAACGCGGAAUUCCAGGUGUAGCGGUGAAAUGCGUAGAUAUCUGGAGGAACACCGGUGGCGAAGGCGGCGUUCUGGACUGGCAACUGACACUGUAAAACGAAAGCCAGGGGAGCAACGGG
rnacentral:rRNA from 1 species